ACCUUCAAGCUGUGAUUAUCAUAAUUUUACCUUCAAAAUACCUACGAAAUACCAGUGGAUGAAAACGAAUGAAAGCGAAGUGGAGAUAAAAUACAAUAAGGAAAAAUUUGGAUGUCCAAUACAGGCCUUGUAUACAGAGCCGUUUCGUCCUGUUGCUAUCUU